UGAUGAAGGUCGCCGCAACGGUAAUUCAAUUUAGUACGAGAGGAACCGUUGAUUCAGAUAAUUGGUUUUUGCGGCUGUCUGACCAGGCAGUGCCGCGACGCUACCAUCUGCCGGAUUAUGGCUGAACGCCUCUAAGUCAGAAUCCGUGCCGGAACGCGGCGAUUUCGCCCCGCACGUCGUAGUUGGAUACGAAUAGGCCUUCGGGCCAUGCACCUCAGCAGGCUGGCGACGGCUCCCGGGGAGAAACCCUCGGGAGCUGGCUAGCGGAUUGUAAUGUCACCUCGCGCGGGGAUAGAUCCUCUGCAGACGACUGAAGUGACCAAGCGGGUCGUGUAAGCGGUCAAGUAGCCUUGUUGCUACGAGUCGCUGAGCGUCAGCCCGACCUUGGCUAGAUUUGU
rnacentral:ncRNA from 1 species